rnacentral:rRNA from 1 species
GAUGAACGCUGGCGGCGUGCCUAAUACAUGCAAGUCGAGCGAACAGAUGAGGAGCUUGCUCCUCUGACGUUAGCGGCGGACGGGUGAGUAACACGUGGAUAACCUACCUAUAAGACUGGGAUAACUUCGGGAAACCGGAGCUAAUACCGGAUAAUAUAUUGAACCGCAUGGUUCAAUAGUGAAAGACGGUUUUGCUGUCACUUAUAGAUGGAUCCGCGCCGCAUUAGCCAGUUGGUAAGGUAACGGCUUACCAAGGCGACGAUGCGUAGCCGACCUGAGAGGGUGAUCGGCCACACUGGAACUGAGACACGGUCCAGACUCCUACGGGAGGAAGCAGUAGGGAAUCUUCCGCAAUGGGCGAAAGCCUGACGGAGCAACGCCGCGUGAGUGAUGAAGGUCUUCGGAUCGUAAAACUCUGUUAUUAGGGAAGAACAAAUGUGUAAGUAACUAUGCACGUCUUGACGGUACCUAAUCAGAAAGCCACGGCUAACUACGUG